AGAAUGAACGCUAGCGAUAUGCUUAACACAUGCAAGUUGAACGUUGUUUUCGAAUCAGAAUGAGAACAAAGUAGCGAACGGGUGCGUAACACGUGGGAAUCUGCCGAACAGUUUGGGCCAAAUCCCGAAUGAAUAAAAGCUAAAAAGCGCUGUUUGAUGAGCCCACGUAGUAUUAGGUAGUUGGUUAGGUAAAAGCUGACCAAGCCUACGAUGCUUAGCUGGUCUUUUCGGAUGAUCAGCCACACUGGGACUGAGACACGGCCCAGACUCCUACGGGAGGCAGCAGGUGGGGAAUCUUGGACAAUGGGCGAAAGCCUGAUCCGGCAAUAUGGCGUGAGUGAAGAAGGGCAACGCAGCUUGUAAAGCUCUUUCAUCGAGUGUGCGAUUGUGACAAGACUCGAAAUAAGGAACGCCCCGGCUAACCUCCGCGCCAGCAGCCGC
rnacentral:rRNA from 1 species